rnacentral:rRNA from 1 species
GACGAACGCUGGCGGCGUGCUUAACACAUGCAAGUCGAACGAUGAACCCGGAGCUUGCUCCGGUGGAUUAGUGGCGAACGGGUGAGUAACACGUGAGUAACCUGACCUUGACUCUGGGAUAACUGCGGGAAACUGUAGCUAAUACCGGAUACGACCCUCGGCGGCAUCGCCAGGGGGUGGACAGAAUUCCGGUCAAGGAUGGGCCCACGGCCUAUCAGCUAGUUGGUGAGGUAACGGCUCACCGAGGCGACGACGGGUAGCCGGCCUGAGAGGGUGACCGGCCACACUGGGACUGAGACACGGCCGAGACUCCUACGGGAGGCAGCAGUGGGGAAUAUUGCACAAUGGGCGCAAGCCUGAUGCAGCAACGCCGCGUGAGGGAUGAUGGCCUUCGGGUUGUAACCUCUUUUAGUAGGGAAGAAGCGAAAGUGACGGUACCUGCAGAAAAAGCACCGGCUAACUACGUGCCAGCAGCCGCAGUAA